GAUGAAGAACGCAGCGAAAUGCGAUAAGUAAUGUGAAUUGCAGAAUUCAGUGAAUCAUCGAAUCUUUGAACGCACAUUGCGCCCGCCAGUAUUCUGGCGGGCAUGCCUGUUCGAGCGUCAUUACAACCCUCAGGCCCCCGGGCCUGGCGUUGGGGAUCGGCGGAGCCCCCCGUGGGCACACGCCGUCCCCCAAAUACAGUGGCGGUCCCGCCGCAGCUUCCAUCGCGUAGUAGCUAACACCUCGCGACUGGAGAGCGGCGCGGCCACGCCGUAAAACACCCAGCUCUUCUGAAGUUGACCUCGAAUCAGGUAGGAAUACCCGCUGAACUUAAGCAUAUCAAUAAGCGGAGGA
rnacentral:misc_RNA from 1 species